rnacentral:rRNA from 1 species
UACGUGAGGGGCGAACGUUGUUCGGUGUCACUGGGCUUAAAGGGUGCGUAGGCUGCGCGGAAAGUUGGGUGUGAAAUCCCUCGGCUCAACCGAGGAACUGCGCCCAAAACUACCGUGCUCGAGGAAGAUAGAGGUAAGCGGAACUUACGGUGGAGCGGUGAAAUGCGUUGAUAUCGUAAGGAACACCUGUGGCGAAAGCGGCUUACUGGGUCUUUUCUGACGCUGAUGCACGAAAGCUAGGGGAGCAAACGGG